rnacentral:lncRNA from 1 species
GACAGGAGCAGGAUGUUUAGUGUAAUACUGUUUAUAAUAUGAAAAAUUAAAAGUUGUGUAAACAGCCAUCAACAGGAGAAUGGCUCCUUUUGGACCUGCUGUCAAUGAACUAUUCUGCAGGGGCCUAGAAGAUUGGGUGGUUCUGUAUGUACUCACGUGGGGAGCACUCUGGGCAUAUUGAGCCGCUGUCUUCACCACGAGCUCUGCUGCCGUUGGGAAGAGCUGUUGACUCAGGGACCAGCUGGACUGGAACCACAAAUGUACCAGGUGGUUCCAAUGCCAACCCACCAGAAACAAGACUCUCACGCCCAGCCUGCCAGCUCCAGUAUUCCAUUGGGCAGCUGUGAAGGGGAGGGUCUCCUUAGUGUGUGCAGCAUCUUGACAGCCUCUCCCGAAACUUCCUAGCAGGGCCAGGCAUUUUUCA